GACGGAGGAUGCAAGUGUUAUCCGGAAUCACUGGGCGUAAAGCGUCUGUAGGUGGUUUCAAAAGUCCACUGUUAAAGAUUGAAGCUUAACUUCAAAAAUGCCGUGGAAACUUUGAAACUUGAGUAUGAUAGGGGUAGAGGGAAUUUCCAGUGGAGCGGUGAAAUGCGUAGAUAUUGGAAAGACCACCAAUGGCGAAGGCACUCUACUGGGCCAUUACUGACACUGAGAGACGAAAGCUAGGGGG
rnacentral:rRNA from 1 species